CAGGACUUCCCUGAUAGCUCAGCUGGUAAAGAAUCCGCCUGCAAUGCAGGAGACACUGGUUCGAUUCGGGUAGGGAAGAUUCCCCUGGAGAAGGAAUAGGCUACCCACUCCAGUAUUCUGGCCUGGAGAAUCCCAUGGACUGUACAGUCUGUGGGGUUACAAAGAGUCGGACACGACUGAGCGACUUUCACUUCACUUUUAAUACACACGAUGGUUUUUAACCCUCAGAAGCAUGCAGUGAGGUAGGGUCUCUGGUUAUCCCUCCUUGACAGAUGGGGAAACUGAGGCACAGAUUUGUCAAGCACCUUGCUCAGAGUCACACCGGUGGGGCUGGGAGGGAACCUCAGCCCUGCCUCUAGUGCCAGCCCUGCUCCGCGGGGCCAGUUCUCCAGGAUGGGGUGUUGGAAGAGAAAGUGGAGGAGACACAGAGAUCUGACCUUUCCAGAACCCCCCUUGUCUCUGCAUCCCCGCUGGCUACAUGGAGGCAGUAGGGUUGAUGGGCUGGAGAAUAGGACAGACCCAGGGGAUCACCUGGGUGGUCAUCUUUGUCCCCUUUUUCUCUCUCAACCCAUAUCCCACCAACCCCCACAAGGCUUCUAAACAAAGGAGGGAGAAUAAGUCUGAGUUAUUAGAGCCGGAAUUACUUUUUAGUUCAUUAAUUGGGCAACUUGAUUUUUGGUUACCUUUUUAUUUUAUAUUGGAGAAAGUGCUUCUGCAGGCAAAGCUUGACCGAGUUCCAAGGAAGGAUCAGAGCAAGGCUCAACCCCCUGGGGAACUUCCGGAACCUCUCUGGAAAGCCCUGCAGAGAAGCCCAUCGAAGGAGCAGCCACCACUCAGCUGUUGCAAGUUGUUGUCCCUCAGGGACAGGACCCCAGGAUAAUCCUCUCUUAGUUUUUUUUUUUUUCAUAGAGGAAUUAGAGCUAGAGGAUUUUAAAAUGUGAGACCGCCCCUUGUUCAAAUAAUGGCAAGCUAACAUGCUAACAUUCCCGUGUUGAAAUGAUGGCAAGCUAUAUUAAAUGUGCUCUAACAUCCGCUAGGGGGAGCCACUCUGCCACUUCAAAUGGAGCUUGGAGGAUCCUGAUCUAGUUGGGAGCAUUUGUCUUCUCUGGGCUCACGGGCAGCACUGUAAUUUUCCCUAGUCACCUGAAGAAUGCAGCCGGCCGCUCCCUCCCAGAAGUGCCUCAGCUUGGAUUCAGGAAGCUUAUAUCGAUUCUAUUUCAAGACGUUUUCAUCCGUGUUGUCUGUAACACAAGAGCCAUGCUUGAGAAAUUCACAACCCAGAGAUCAACUCUACCAGACUUACUAUGUGGAAGAAAGGUGGUGAACAUCACUGGACAAUUCAAAGAAUGAGCACCCUGCAUGAAAUGAACCCGUCUGGUCUUAAGGGUACCUUGAAGCCAUGUAGGAAGACUGUGAUGAGGCUGUGGUCCAGGCCAGAGAGGAGGGGUACUUGGACCAGGUGGUGGGGAUUGGGAGAAGUGGGUGAAUGCAAGAGAUGUAUGAAGGAUUGAAUUAUCUAGAGGUUUAGGGAGCUCAGCCUGGCACUCUGUGAUGACAUAGAG
ensembl:lncRNA